UAUUAAAACUUUUAUCCAUUUCUAUUGUUAAAAGUUGGCAUAGCUGACACCACAUGUGCCUCAUUCUGACAUACAGGAAUCAAUUUAACAAGAGAAAUUGAUGAAAUUUUUAAUA
rfam:Gossypium hirsutum cultivar TM-1 chromosome 13, whole genome shotgun sequence